rnacentral:rRNA from 1 species
CAGCAGCCGCGGUAAUACGUAGGUGGCAAGCGUUGUCCGGAAUUAUUGGGCGUAAAGGGCUCGCAGGCGGUUCCUUAAGUCUGAUGUGAAAGCCCCCGGCUCAACCGGGGAGGGUCAUUGGAAACUGGGAAACUUGAGUGCAGAAGAGGAGAGUGGAAUUCCACGUGUAGCGGUGAAAUGCGUAGAGAUAUGGAGGAACACCAGUGGCGAAGGCGACUCUCUGGUCUGUAACUGACGCUGAGGAGCGAAAGCGUGGGGAGCGAACAGGAUUAGAUACCCCAGUAGUCCCUGUCUCUUAUAA